rnacentral:lncRNA from 1 species
GAAAAUUAUCUCCUCUCUCAAAUAUAAGAAAUUAAAAAUUUGAUGGUGCCAAUUACUUAAUUUGGCAUUAUUUCUUCCUGAAUAUAUAGCAAUAUAAAUUCCAAAUUAUAUGUUACAAGUUACAACAGAACUGAUAAAUAAAUUAAUAGAAAUAACUUUACCGCAUAAAAUUCGUAGUAAACAGAGUCUAUUUUUAUACUCUAUAUUUUUAGGCAUUGAACUACAAAUUGUCGAAGGCAUGAAGGACAUGAUCCACCAUUCUAGUUUCGUAACUUUCGUUUAGUUCCAUGUUUAACGAUUUUUGAAGUAGUUUGAACUUCGAACUUUCUGUAUGUGCUCUUUAGUGGUUUUACAAAUGUCAUUGACUCUUCUUCUUCUUCUUCUUCUUGUUCCUGGCAAAAUUUAAGUAGUGCAUACUAAAUUACAAAAGACACAUGGUCUAUUUUUGUCAGAUAGUUAGGACCAAAGUUCAUUUUCUAAAAGGUUAUCUUCUCCAAAAUUAUCAUCUAAUCUACCCAGCUCGCUUUAAAUUUAAAUUUAUAUCUACUAACUUGUGUCCUGUAUUUUAAAGAUUUUGUGUUAUAUGUGUAUUUAUAAUAUAUGAUUCGAAUUAAAUUAAGGCUCCAACUUAGAGUUUUGGUUGAAAUACUAUAAACAACUUACUUUCAUAAAUUUUGAUAAAAAUGAUGUUUGAUAAAUUUUUUAAAAACAACUUAUUUCAUAAGUUUUUGCAUUUUCAGAGUAAGAUUCAAAAGCAAGAAAGGGAAUUUUUUUUUUAUAAGGAGCUUAUUCAAUAUGCACCUUGUCUUUUUAAAGUUCUUGGUAUAAUCUUAUUAUUUUAACAAAAAGACAAUAAUGUCUUAGUUUUCCAUAAACCCUAUUAUAUACAUAAAAUGCAAUUUAAACUUAUGUUUAUUUUGGUCAUAACUAAAUGAAAUUUUCAUAAUAAAAUUUACCGAACUUUUAUACUCGACUUUUCGAACUCACAGUAAUCACAAUAACGCAAUUUAUCAAACAUAAAAAUAUUUUUUUAGUCAACUAGUAGAAGCAGCUUAUUUCAUUAGUUACCACAAUUUCAAACUAACCCUAAACAUACAUCUUUCUUUAAUAAUAUCCAUAUCUUCACUAAAUUCAAAUCUAUGCCUCUUAAAAAUUAUUUCAAGGGAGAUUAAACUUUUAAUAUCUUAUUUUCUAAAAGAGAAAGAGAAGUUAUCAUAAGAAAAAAAAAAGAAAAAAAAAGAGUCAAGUUAUUGUAAGAUAGCUUUUAUUUUAGAACAGUUCACAACACUGUAUAAUACAACAUAGGGCCGAAAAUUAUCCCAUAAGAAUCAUUUUUCGAACAAGUUUGAUCUUUACAGUUUUCACUUUUGUAUCUUGUUCACAAGAGAACUUGGGAAAUGAGAUGUGACAGGACUGUUAGGGGCUAAAAUUAAAGUCCCAUUUACAUGCCAGCAAUAGUGUAAAAAGAAAAAGAAAAAAUAAUAAUUGAUGUUUCAACGAACUACUAGUUUUAUCGAAAAAGAAAACAAAAUAAACAAACUACUACUGAAGCGAGGGAGGUCUUAAGUUACGAUGAGCGUAACAUGCGUCUCUCACAGCAACAGUGACCGCUCAACGUAACUUAGCGCCAACCCUGAAAUGAAGAUCAAUUUCUGAAUAUGGGGACCUAGUGAUAACAAAUGCAAGUGACACCCGAGCCAGUGAUGUCAAUUCUCAAUUCCAUCAACUAAAACACAAACUUUGAAACAAUUGGGGUCCUUUAUGCUCUUUGCUAAUAGGUUAAUGGAUAGGGAAAGGUUGGGGCCUAAGCACAUCAAUGUCACACCACACCCAUUGUCCCCAUCACAUUGGUAUCUUAAAGGAAUAACUUAUCUGUGUAUCGUGAGGAUUGCUUCAGCUUCCACCACAUAAAUUUCUUUCACUAUUCUUAUUCCUCCUCAUUGGACCGGAAGAAUCACGAUAAUGUUUCGUCAAUGCGUCAAUCAAAUAUUACCUCGCAUUUAUGGACCAUGAGUCAUCAAAAUAUACCUUCAACGGCAUAUACAUGGCCUCCGAGUUAAAGUUGCAGAAGAAACAGUAGUUAUUUCAACAACAUCAUUAUUAUCAUUAUUUUUUUAAAGUAUUAUUAUCAUUAUUAUUAUUAUUAUUAUUGUUAUUCAUGAAUUUUUAAUUAGACAAUUUUUUUAAGGAAAAAUAAAAAAGACCUGAGAAUAGUUGAUGAUACCGUGUCCGACUGUCCGACCAGUCACUGGCUAUAAUGACUCUUACAGUGCAGGCUUUAUCGGCCACUGUGGUGGACCUCUGUGAAGUCUCGUCAAUCAAUCUUAACAGCUAAUAAUCUAUGUCCUAGGAUAAUCGGGAACCCAGAAAAAAUCACAUAAAUAAAAUAAAACAUAAUAAUCGCAAAUGAAGUAAAAUUUAUUAUUAUUUUUUCAAUAUCAAGUUUUAAGUACGGCCACUUAAUCUCAGUUUGGUAUAAGUUUUUAAUUAAAAUUAUUUAA